ACGCAAAUGCCGAAGACAGCAGGUGUCGCAAGACGUAACGCAUGCUACCUGCCGAGGGAUGAGUGAACAUUAAUGAAAUGUUAACCUCUCUGUCUACGGACGGAGAGGUUUUUCUU
rnacentral:sRNA from 1 species